UACGUAGGGGGCAAGCGUUGUCCGGAUUUAUUGGGCGUAAAGAGCGUGUAGGCGCCAGACAGGUCCGUUGUGAAAACUCGAGGCUCAACCUCGAGAUGUCGAUGGAAACCGUCUGGCUAGAGUCCGGAAGAGGAGUGUGGAAUUCCUGGUGUAGCGGUGAAAUGCGCAGAUAUCAGGAAGAACACCUAUGGCGAAGGCAGCACUCUGGGACGGUACUGACGCUGAGACGCGAAAAGCGUGGGGGAGCGAACAGG
rnacentral:rRNA from 1 species